GAUGAACGCUGGCGGCGUGCUUAACGCAUGCAAGUCGAACGAAGCGCUUGAGAUUGAUUCUUCGGAUGAUUUCUCUUGUGACUUAGUGGCGGACGGGUGAGUAACGCGUGGGUAACCUGCCUCACACAGGGGGAUAACAGUUGGAAACGACCGCUAAUACCGCAUAACCCGCUAGGGCCGCAUGGCCCGGACGGAAAAGAUUUAUCGGUGUGAGAUGGACCCGCGUUGGAUUAGCUAGUUGGCAGGGUAAUGGCCUACCAAGGCGACGAUCCAUAGCCGGCCUGAGAGGGUGAACGGCCACAUUGGGACUGAGACACGGCCCAAACUCCUACGGGAGGCAGCAGUGGGGAAUAUUGCACAAUGGGGGAAACCCUGAUGCAGCGACGCCGCGUGAGUGAAGAAGUAUUUCGGUAUGUAAAGCUCUAUCAGCAGGGAAGAAAAUGACGGUACCUGACUAAGAAGCCCCGGCUAACUACGUGCCAGCCGCCGCUGUAACAC
rnacentral:rRNA from 1 species